UACGCUUCGGAAGUUUUCGUUUGCUUCUGAAGUUUUCAUUUACGCUUCUGAAGUUUUCGUUUACGCUCCCUGAGUUUUCGUUCGCUGUUCUGACACAAAUCUCUCGUGGGGGCGGGGCUAGUAGCAGUGUGUUCUCAUUGGCUACUGAGUUUUUGAUUGACAGCUUCUUGACCUGGAAGUGAAGACGUCAGUGUUGCGUUUACAUGUGUGGAUGUGAGUGUCUGUAAGCGCAGCUUUCUAUUUCAUUUAGGUGAUAUUAAGUUUAUAUCUGUAUUUAUUUACUGCUACACUAUAUUGUUGAGAUGAUUUCUUAUAGAAGGAAUAGUACAGACAAAUGAUAUAAUUUGUCAUCGUCGAUAUCAGAAUACUGGAUAGCCUACUCGUGGUAAGUCAGAUUUUUUUUUAUUUUUUUUUUUUAUUAAUUAAUACUAAACUAAUACUAUUUAUAAUACAGUACUUGCUUUUUCAGGUGGAGAGGCAUAUUAGAGCUGAGUGAGAGCCCAUAACAUUAUACAGCAGUGUCGUCUUGAUUUAAUUGGGAGUUGAGCAACUUUUCCAUAAACAAAAUUCUGAUGCUGACACAGAGGAUGGAGUGAUAAUACCAGAGAUCAACUGUCUCCAUCAGACAAUAAUGUUACUUUGUUCAGACAUAUCACCUUUGAAUGACUGGGAUCCUGAUCUUCAGACACCUGAUGUAUUUUAUUUUAAUAUUAUAAAAUAGCAAAUAUUUUAAUUUCUUUGGAGCUCUAGAUUAAAACAAACACAGUUUACAAGUACACAAGAGGUUGCAGUUUAUUCUUAUUAGUCUAUGCUGAUCAUGGAUUAGCAUACCAACAGCAUAUGAAUGGGAUAGUUCACCCAAAAAUAAAAUUCUCACUUAUUUUACUCACCCUCA